GGUUUCUUGAAGUUAGUCAUACAUUGACAUGUUUGCAAAUACAAUAAAGUAGACCUAUUAUAAAAAAAAAGAUGUAUUGACGGUUAAAAUGUACAUUUUCUUCUUUAGGUUUUGUGCUAACCAUCCACAUAGUAUAUACAUAUACAAGAGGCUUGAAUAUAAUGCAUUCGUUCUUCCUAUUAUGUUGACAUUUGCUUCAUUGGCUAAUAUCGGGUUACAUGUGUGGUCGCCACACAAUUCUUAUGUAUCAAUUCGUAUGUCAACACACUGGCCAGAAUUCAGGAUUGUUUUUCCAACAACUUUGUAUUGCAACAGACACCGUUAAAUAAAAUCAUCAAUAAUAGUUUCUGAAUUAUUGUAGUUGCUCAAAGUUGUAUUUGGAAGCCCUUGUCUCUGUGUCCUUCCCAGUAUUACUUAAAGAGAUCGUACUGGGUGGAAGAAAGAUACUUUGGUUUCCAUUCUUGUCUUUAUUCCCUAGUUCUUCUCAUGCAAGACAUUGGAAGAAAAGUUUUUCACAUUUUGGAAGUAAGCAGCAAGCAAAAUCACCUUGUAUCAUCAUAAAUUGGUGACAUUACAUGCAAAAUCCAGAUGGAAGCCAGAAAUCCACAGAAAAGAGAUCUGACCCAACCCUGAAAGCUUGACGUGGUUUUAAGACCGGAUGUCUAUGCAGCCAAGAUCCUAUCUGAAAGCAAGGGGGUGGUGGAACAUACACUGACGCUGUUCUGAAAGCAAGGAGAACAUACACUGACACUGUUCUGAAAGCAAGGGGAACAUACACUGAUGCUGUUCUGAAAGCAAGGGGGGAGAAGAACAUACACUGACUCUGUUCUGAAUGCAAGGGGGUAGUGGAACAUACACUGACUCUGUUCUGAAUGCAAGGGGGUAGUGGAACAUACACUGACGUUCUGAAAGCUUGUUGCUAUUUUGUUCUGUGUAAGGAUAGUGUAAUUUGCGCACCUUUUCACAAGUUGUGGAUCUAAAGAGAAGCUUUAUGUUGGUCACUUCUUGUCACAAAACAUGACUUAUAUUACAGCUUUUGAUGUUUUAGGUAGAUCUAAUGGCAUUCUUUGGUUUAUUUCCAUUGGUCCUUUGCUUGCAUUGUCAAUCCCAGUAAUGUUGCAAUUGGUAGUGAAAGGCUGACCUGAAGUAAUCCUUCAUUGCCUUGUCAAGUGGAGAUAUCUCUUGUCUAGAUUUAAAACGGUCAGCAUGUAUAGGUGGAGGAGAGCAAUGUUCCACCAGGUCUGCCACUUCGCAAAGUGAUCAUUUCGAAAAAAAACUCUUUAUUUGACCUAAAUGGGGCUGUCUGUCACUGGGAUCAGAUGGAGUGGAGUAAACUCCUUGGUAGAGGUCUCUGCCACACAGGCUGGGUAGAUACAGAUCACAUAAACUGCUGCCGCCGCACAGGAAAUCACAUUAUCCGGCCUUCGACCAGAGCAGAGCCCCACACUGUCACGAUGCAAAGUCGUUACCAUGGAGACUGACUCACCACACCACAUCCCAGGUUGUCUUAGCUCCCCAAGGUGGGAAAACAGUGCUGUGUUAUAAUAAAUGAACAACAAUUCUGUAUCUGGACUCAAGAAGACUAAUGUGUUAUGAAUGGAGAUGUGUCUGCUGGUCCAUCCGUCAUCAUCAUCAUCCAACUCAGCUAUA
ensembl:lncRNA